rnacentral:lncRNA from 1 species
CUGCAGCUGGGCCUGGAGGCCAUGGCUGUACAGCAGCAGUGAGAGCCGAGCUGUGGCGGGCCACAUGCUCUUCCCCUGACUCAGGGCUGCCGAGUUCCCUCCAGAGAGGCUGCUGACCUAUUUUUUUAUUGGGAACAACCAGCAAAUGUGAUAAUGAGGAAAAUGUAUACUGGCCCCUGUGAAGUUUAGUGAAGCCCGAAUGAAGUGGAGGAGGCCACGGAGGUGCACGAGGAAGAGCAUUCCAGGCAGAGGGAGCAGCAAGGACAAAAGCCCCCGGGCAGGAAUGGGUGUGCAAGCCUGAGAUCCAACAUGGCGGAGAGCAAGCCGGAAGUGCUGCGCGGGGAUCCUAAGGGAGCGCUGAACAAGACAAGCUCAGUUUUGUCUCUCAAACCCCCACAAUCAGCUAUUUUACGUAAGGAAAGUGGGUGGUGAUUAACCUCAGAGUCUCCAGGGACAGACUAUCCAGGACUGUGCCUGAAAUAGAAGAGGAAUUAACAUCAUACAGAACUGAAUACGGUGACUGAGGGGAGUUUGUGUCUCCCCUUUUAGGAAAGAAGAUGAGAACAUGUAUGAAGAAGAGUCAUGUACUGUAUAUUAAGCAAAAGCAUUAUGCUGUUGUUUGAAAAGUUAAUUAGAGGUGCCCACUAAAAACUGCUCAGCAAUUUUCUUGGAGACCUCAGUACUCAUGUUAUUCUUUCCUCUAUCUUAUAUUUUCCUCUCUCCUGCCCUUUUCAGAAAGAGUCUACAGCAG